rnacentral:rRNA from 1 species
CUUGGUCAUUUAGAGGAAGUAAAAGUCGUAACAAGGUUUCCGUAGGUGAACCUGCGGAAGGAUCAUUACAGAGUUCUUGCCCUUACGGGUAGAUCUCCCACCCUUGAUAUCUAUUCUCUUGUUGCUUUGGCGGGACGCAUCUUGCCACAGGCUUCGGCUUGUGAGUGCCCGCCAGAGACCCAACCAAAACCUGUUUAUGUGUCGUCUGAGUACUAUAUAAUAGUUAAAACUUUCAACAACGGAUCUCUUGGUUCUGGCAUCGAUGAAGAACGCAGCGAAAUGCGAUAAGUAAUGUGAAUUGCAGAAUUCAGUGAAUCAUCGAAUCUUUGAACGCACAUUGCGCCCCUUGGUAUUCCGAGGGGCAUGCCUGUUCGAGCGUCAUUUACACCACUCAAGCCUGGCUUGGUAUUGGAGUUCGCACACCAGCGGCUCUUAAACUUAGUGGCGGCGCCGGUUGGUUCUUCGCGUAGUAAUUCUCUCGCGGUAGGGUCCGUCGGUAGCUUGCUAGCAACCCCAAUUUUUUAAGGUUGACCUCGGAUCAGGUAGGGAUACCCGCUGAACUUAAGCAUAUCAAUAAGCGGAGGA